UGAUCUGAUUAUACCCGCAAUAACAUAUCGAAUUUCAUAAGAACUCUAAAGUUAAUCGUACUUAGACGAAAGUAGUACUAGGAUGAGUGACCUCUUAAGAAAUUCUCGUGUUGCUUCUC
rnacentral:rRNA from 1 species